rnacentral:lncRNA from 1 species
UAUACUAAAGAACGCACAGAUUAUAUUAAAUAGGAUAUGUUUAUAUACAACUUAUAUAAAGGACAUUAGCGAAAUCUGAUUAUGCAUCUAAUCUGAUUAUGCAUCUUCAUCAAUACAUGCUCCAAUGAGCCCAAUGCACUCAAACACUACUACACCCAACCAAACAAAACAUAAUAACGUUAUAAAUAAAAACCAUAUGGACUCCAAUAACAUGGAAAAAGCUACUCAGUGUUUACACACAUUUCUCUUUUGAAUUGACUUAAACAAACUACUUGUAAAAAAUCUAACGGCCUUUUGUUACCCCAUUUCAACUUUUACCUGCAGGAGAAAGCAAUGCAGAAUAGAUAGUCAAUAAGUUGAUAAGAUACUGAAAAUAAAAAAAUACAAACUGCUCUUUGUGAUUUGCAAAAAAUGAUCGAAGCCGGUACACAGAUAAAAAUACGUACACUCUUACCUUUUCUCUCCAAAGCUAGUUGCUCUUCUAAUGUCCAAAAGAACUCAACACCUGGGAUAUGCCACCUGCAAACAGAGAGAAAAACAUGGACAUGGACCAUUAUCAAAUUUGUCAGGGAGAGACAAUAAAGAGGGUCUUCUUUGCUAUUUUAUCAAAACUAAUGUUUGGUUGGACAAACUUUUUUGAAUGGAAAAAAAGAAAAGAAGAAAACUUCAAUGGAGAAAAUAAUUGCAAAUUAGCUUUGUUUUGUUCCUUAUAUAAAAAGUGAAGGAGAAAAGGAAAAAGAAAAUGAAAGGGAAGAUGGAUGGUUGAAGGGAAAAGAGGAAGAUGAAGAAUAGGGAGGAAAGUUAUAGCACAAAUGCCUUUGAGAAAAUGUUUCAAAAAUUAUAUUCUACCCUUGACAAACCAAACAA